CUCGCGCUCUUCUUUGUCUGAUGUAAGUAUAGCUACCCCUGCUUUCUUUUGGUUUCCACAUGCAUGGAACAUCAUUUUUCAUCCUUCAGUCUAUGUGUAUCCUUAAAGCUGAAGACAAAUGAUUAAAAAGAAGCACGCCAGUCUCACAGCUUGAAGGUAUGAGGAAGACUGAUCUUUCUAACCACAUUGUACAGUUCUGGACAUGUCCCAAGAGAACUUACAGUUCAAUGUGAUUAAAGGAUAAAGGAUGAAUGUGUGAAGACUGAAAAGACAAGUUCUGGCUAUUCCUUUGAGGGUCUCAUUUGUGAAGCUAAGGCAUGUGAACCUUCCCUCUGGUGUUAAGGACCCAUCAAGAU